GUAACUAGUAACAACACAACAGAGUCGGGAAAUUUGAGACUGUGGAUGCCGAUGCGAUAUCAGUUAAGGACAAGAUUGGAGAUAACUUGAUUCCAUUUGAGCAACAAUGUCUUCAGAACAUGUACUAAAUAUGUUAUACGCUUCAUAAUAUUCACGUUGUCAGCAAUGUCAAGGAUUCCAGUUUUGAAGAGCUGCAGACCGUCCAGGGGCACAGGCAGGGCUGCAGAAAGAAUUAGACAUGAAGACCUUGAAAGGGCUGUCUGACAGAAAGAAGAGAGGCUGGCCGAGAUUAAGCUUUUUUUUCAUAUCAUUACAUGCUAAAUUGCAAGAGCUGGCCUUUGAAGAAAGGGUAGAAGUGCUGGAGCUGGCCAAUUCCCGCCUACCUGGAGUGAUUUUUGACAUCAUGGAGUACCAGAGAGCUAUCCCAGGGUCUCCGGACAACCUCGCUGGUGCACCUGCAUGAAUUGUACCUUACAACACACAACUGCUGCCAUUUCACCACUGCAAUAUUCAAUUUAUUUAUUACCAAGUAUGUUUAUAUAACAGGUUAACACUUUCCACGACUACACUAUACUUUAUUCUUCAUUUGCAUCACAAUUAGGAAAAUUACUCAAUUUGGUGAUGUCUUUUAAGUUGUUGUUUUUGUGAAUUUUUCCUUGGUCUGGGUGAUAUAAGUUCAGUACUUUAUCAGAAUUUUCCCCUUACAAUGUGCUUUUGUUAUUUAGAGGAAGGUUAGAGACUACCUUGUAUUCUUGUUUAUCUCCCUAAUAAAACUAUUUGACCUGA